AUUGAACGCUAGCGGCAUGCUUUACACAUGCAAGUCGAACGAGUGGCGGACGGGUGAGUAAUAUCUUGGAACGUGCCCCAUAACGGGGGCUAACUACUCGAAAGAGUGGCUAAUACCGCAUACUAUCGGAGUGGCCUAUAUCGCAUUUGCUAGUUGGUGUGGUAAAGGCUCACCAAGGCCACGAUCCUUAGCUGGUUUGAGAGGACGACCGUCCACACUGGGACUGAGAAACGGCCCAGACUCCUACGGGAGGCAGCAGUGGGGAAUUUUGGACAAUGGGCGAAACCCUGAUCCAGCCAUCCCGCGUGUAUGAGAAGGCCUUCGGGUUGUAAAGUACUUUUGGCGAAGAGGCGGUAGGUGAAGAAUAAGCACCGGCUAACUACGUGCCAGCAGCCGCGGUAAUAG
rnacentral:rRNA from 1 species